UCCCAACUUAGUAACUCAGGAACACGCCGGAAACCUGAUAUAUUCACCCACAUUUUCUAAAAGCUCGCGUCAUUUGCCCGCACUGUCCUGAGGAUCAUACAUAUCAUGGGCAAGUGGAAAAAGUAGAGCGGAUGAAGUGAUGGAGUGGAGAAUAAGAUCACCGACCUAAUACGCUUGGGAGAGCGUAAUUACGAAUUAGGAGAGAGAAUAUGAGGGCCUGGGCCCCACCGGAGCAUGGCGCGAAGAGCGUGACGUUGCUUCGGACCGCGGACACCCAUUGGACCACACAUCGCCCGGCCCAUGUCGCGGAUCUCCGUGUCCCCGAAUGCGAGAGAGAUCUCCCACCGUCCGUCUCCCCCCAUCGGACGGUCGCCGCGUUCCUGACACCUCCUGGUCCCCGCUUCACAUGGCGGGUCCCCUCCCCCUGCUUGCUACCUCUAGCAGAUUUUGCUUGCACCCGGUGCACUCUGGCAGCGGUGCGCUAUGGUCGAUAGUAAUUUUUAUGAAUCGUCUCAAAAAUACUUUGUAAGAAAAUAACUUAAAAUUGAUUUUUUUUACUAUAUAUAUAUAUAUAUUAUUUGGAUAGUAUUUUAUUGAACAACGUAAAACUAAGUAGAUUUAAAUUUCUAUUGCUUAAAUAUAUUUUUAUUAAAAUUAAGUUGGAGUGGUUUUAGAAAUAUAGAGAUCUUUGUGAUUUUAAGUCAUUAACAGUAAAAGAAUUUUCAAAUUGGCGAUCAGUUUUAUUAAAUUUGAUUUAAAGUUUAAAAAAAAUUCUAAUUUUUUAAUAUUGUUAAUCUAUCUAGUCAUAAAAAGAGUUAAAAAUGAUAACUAAUUUUAAAACUCAAUUUGAGCCAUUUAUGAGCUUAAUGGAAUAUACGUAUCUAAAUUAUGCAGUAUUUAGGUAUGUAUAUACCAUGGAUGGAAGAUACGAGCGUGGAUGAAUGAGCAACCACGGAUGAGUCCGAUGCACGGAAGAGGUGGUGAGCCGGGCGCAGGGUAGAAUUUCUUCGUCCCACUCGAGGAUUGGCUGGACUGGGAACCUCCUUCCACGUAACGGCUACAUGUCACGCUGGGAGACUGACACGCCAGGGUUAAGAGAGCCGCGGCGCGGGAGAAGCCGUUACACCGAACGACGACUAACAUUAUUUAGGAGCGCGGAACUCGCAGAACACCGGGCGGUAAAAAGGACGCUGACCAAUGGCAUCGCGACACGUACUCAAGCCCCGUGCUGUUUAGUCUAAUCAACGGCAUCACGUGGCCACCUCCGUAAUGAUUCAGACCAGCAUUCGACAACCGUAUGCCACGAGUCACACAGCACGUGACCUCCUC
rnacentral:lncRNA from 1 species